UACGUAGGCAGCGAGCGUUGUUCGGAGUUACUGGGCGUAAAGAGUGCGUAGGCGGUUUUCUAAGUUUGGUGUGAAAUCUCCCGGCUUAACUGGGAGGGUGCGCCGAAGACUGGAAGGCUUGAGUAUGGGAGAGGUAAGCGGAAUUCCUGGUGUAGCGGUGAAAUGCGUAGAUAUCAGGAGGAACACCUGCGGUGUAGACGGCUUACUGGACCAUAACUGACGCUGAGAGACGAAAGCGUGGGGAGCAAACAGG
rnacentral:rRNA from 1 species